CUUAAAGUCAGGCCAUGGGGAAGAUGACCCAUCCAGGACACAUCAGGCAUCAGGUGCAAAGCUGGGACUAUCCCCUUGGUCUUCUAACUCUGAGUCCAGUGUUCUUUCGACGACACUCCAUGUAGUCAUGGUCACCGCCAUCCCCCAUCCCCCAGCCGCUAAGGCCAUGACAGCUGUUCCUCCAACACUGAUGAACACUGUGAGGGAAAACUCCACGAGUCAGGCUCAGGGCUUCCCCAAGGCCAGCCUGCUGAGACAGGUUUUGGGGCCGGAGUCAGGGGACCAGGAGGUUCCCUUUUCCUGCUGGAGAGAAGCCCGGAAGCUGAACAGCAGGAAGAAGGCCUCUUCAUUCCUGUUUAGAAGAGAAGGAUCUUGUUGCUUGACUUUUCUUGACUAUUGUCUGGCUUUCAUUGAAAGCUUUGGAAGUUCUACCCUAUGUCCGGCGUCCCAGGUCUUGAUGAACAAAAAGGAGUCAGCACCUAAGUUAAUCUUCCUUCUUCAUUUCCAACCACAGCUCAAGGGUUUUGCUGUCUGUCUUUGGAAAUGACUCAACUAACAGAUGGGGGUGGAAAUCUGCACCACGAAAUUAAUUACGCCGCGUCUUCAGGCUUUGUCCUCUCAUUUACUGAAUCGUGUUUAAUUAACAACUCAAGACUGCACCUCCUUGCAGAUGAGUUUGCAUUUCAUGAGAUCAUAAAAUUAAAGAAAAAGUCUGCCAAGCUCACUGCUUGUUAUAGUCCUUGUCCCCGGCCUGACCCUGAUUAC
rnacentral:lncRNA from 1 species